GAGGUGAGAGGAUCUCUUGAGCCCAGGAGUUUGAGGCUGUAGUGAACUAUGAUCACACCACUGCACUCCAGCCUGAGUGACAGAGUAAGACCCUGUCUC
rnacentral:miRNA from 1 species